rnacentral:rRNA from 1 species
ACGAACGCUGGCGGCGUGCCUAAUACAUGCAAGUCGAGCGGAAUGAUGAAGAAGCUUGCUUCUUCUGAUUUUAGCGGCGGACGGGUGAGUAACACGUGGGCAACCUACCUUGUAGAUUGGGAUAACUCCGGGAAACCGGGGCUAAUACCGAAUAAUCCAUUUCGCUUCAUGGCGAGAUGUUGAAAGACGGUUUCGGCUGUCACUACAAGAUGGGCCCGCGGCGCAUUAGCUAGUUGGUAGGGUAAUGGCCUACCAAGGCGACGAUGCGUAGCCGACCUGAGAGGGUGAUCGGCCACACUGGGACUGAGACACGGCCCAGACUCCUACGGGAGGCAGCAGUAGGGAAUCUACCACAAUGGACGAAAGUCUGAUGAGCAACGCCGCGUGAGUGAAGAAGGUUUUCGGAUCGUAAAACUCUGUUGUAAGGGAAGAACACGUACGAGAGUAACUGCUCGUACCUUGACGGGUACCUUAUUAGAAAGCCACGGCUAACUACGUG